UACGGGGGGGGCAAGCGUUGUUCGGAAUUACUGGGCGUAAAGGGCUCGUAGGCGGCCAACUAAGUCCGACGUGAAAUCCCAAGGCUUAACCUUGGAACUGCGUCGGAUACUGGAUGGCUUGAAUCCGGGAGAGGGAUGCGGAAUUCCAGGUGUAGCGGUGAAAUGCGUAGAUAUCUGGAGGAGCACCGGUGGCGAAGGCGGCAUCCUGGACCGGCAUUGACGCUGAGGAGCGAAGCCAG
rnacentral:rRNA from 1 species